GACAGAGGAUGCAAGCGUUAUCCGGAAUGAUUGGGCGUAAAGCGUCUGUAGGUGGCUUUUCAAGUCCGCCGUCAAUCCCAGGGCUCAACCCUGGACAGGCGGUGGAAACUACCAAGCUGGAGUACGGGUAGGGGCAGAGGGAAUUCCGGUGGAGCGGUGAAAUGCAUUGAGAUCGGAAAGAACACCAACGGCGAAGCACUCUGCUGGCCGACACUGACACUGAGAGACGAAAGCUAGGGAGCAAACAGGAG
rnacentral:rRNA from 1 species